AUUGAACGCUGGCGGCAUGCCUUACACAUGCAAGUCGAACGGUAACAGGUCUUCGGAUGCUGACGAGUGGCGAACGGGUGAGUAAUAUAUCGGAACGUGCCCAGUAGUGGGGGAUAGCCCGGCGAAAGCCGGAUUAAUACCGCAUACGACCUGAGGGUGAAAGGGGGAGAUUCGCAAGAACCUCUCGCUAUUGGAGCGGCCGAUACCAGAUUAGGUAGUUGGUGGGGUAAAGGCCUACCAAGCCUGCGAUCUGUAGUUGGUCUGAGAGGACGACCAGCCACACGGGGACUGAGACACGGCCCAGACUCCUACGGGAGGCAGCAGUGGGGAAUUUUGGACAAUGGGCGCAAGCCUGAUCCAGCAAUGCCGCGUGCAGGAAGAAGGCCUUCGGGUUGUAAACUGCUUUUGUCAGGGAAGAAAUCCUCUGAGUUAAUACCUCGGGGGGAUGACGGUACCUGAAGAAUAAGCACCGGCUAACUACGUGCCAGCCGCCGCGGUAACAC
rnacentral:rRNA from 1 species